UAACGAAUCUUCCGCAAUGUACGAAAGUAUGACGGAGCGACGCCGCGUGUAGGACGAAGCCCUUCGGGGUGUAAACUACUGUCAGGGGUUAGAAAGUUCUGAUCAACCCCAGAGGAAGGCACGGCUAACUCUGUGCCAGCAGCCGCGGUAAGACAGAGGUGCCAAGCGUUAGGCGGAAUCACUGGGCUUAAAGCGUGUGUAGGCGGAUUUGUAAGUGCUUUGUGAAAUCCCACGGCUCAACCGUGGAACUGCUUGGCAUACUGCGAAUCUUGAGCCACUUAGGGGCUACCGGAACAAAUGGUGGAGCGGUGAAAUGCGUAGAUAUCAUUUGGAACGCCAAUGGUGAAAACAGGUAGCUGGGAGUGUGCUGACGCUGAGACACGAAAGCCAGGGGAGCGAACGGGAUUAGAUACCCCCGUAGUCC
rnacentral:rRNA from 1 species